AAACUUUAAUUUUUUUUUUUAUGAACUAUCAUAAAAUUGCUGUUCGCAGCUAUAGCGAUAAAUGUUUGGUUUGUGAACUGGAACGGACCCGGGGGCGGUACCCGGCGCCUCCACCAAAAUAAUGGGGGCGAAAUAGGAUCGACGUACAUGGGAAUAAUCAAAACUUCGCUCGGAAUGGUACCAACGUUAUCGGACUAAACUUUAUAAAUGCCAACGAUAAUGAAAUGGCAAUCGCUGCUUAAUUAAUUAAGUAAGCGCGGUUGUGAGACACCGGGCAACAGAAGUCUCAUCG
rnacentral:tmRNA from 1 species